rnacentral:rRNA from 1 species
AGUAGGAUAGGCGAAGCGUACGAUUGGAUUGUACGUCUAAGCAGUGAGAUUGAGUGUUAGGCAAAUCCGGCACUCUUAAGAUUGAGCUGUGAUGGGGAGAGGAAAUUGUUUCCUCGAGUCGUUGAUUUCACACUGCCGAGAAAAGCCUCUAGAUAGAGAUUAGGUGCCCGUACCGCAAACCGACACAGGUAGUCAAGAUGAGAAUUCUAAGGUGAGCGAGCGAACUCUCGUUAAGGAACUCGGCAAAAUGACCCCGUAACUUCGGGAGAAGGGGUGCUCUUUAGGGUGCAAGCCCAGAAGAGCCGCAGUGAAUAGGCCCAAGCGACUGUUUAUCAAAAACACAGGUCUCUGCUAAACCGUAAGGUGAUGUAUAGGGGCUGACGCCUGCCCGGUGCUGGAAGGUUAAGAGGAGUGGUUAGCUUCUGCGAAGCUACGAAUCGAAGCCCCAGUAAACGGCGGCCGUAACUAUAACGGUCCUAAGGUAGCGAAAUUCCUUGUCGGGUAAGUUCCGACCCGCACGAAAGGCGUAACGAUUUGGGCACUGUCUCAACGAGAGACUCGGUGAAAUCAUAGUACCUGUGAAGAUGCAGGUUACCCGCGACAGGACGGAAAGACCCCGUGGAGCUUUACUGUAGCCUGAUAUUGAAAUUCGGCACAGCUUGUACAGGAUAGGUAGGAGCCUUUGAAACGUGAGCGCUAGCUUACGUGGAGGCGUUGGUGGGAUACUACCCUAGCUGUGUUGGCUUUCUAACCCGCACCACUUAUCGUGGUGGGAGACAGUGUCAGGCGGGCAGUUUGACUGGGGCGGUCGCCUCCUAAAAGGUAACGGAGGCGCUCAAAGGUUCCCUCAGAAUGGUUGGAAAUCAUUCAUAGAGUGUAAAGGCAUAAGGGAGCUUGACUGCGAGACCUACAAGUCGAGCAGGGUCGAAAGACGGACUUAGUGAUCCGGUGGUUCCGCAUGGAAGGGCCAUCGCUCAACGGAUAAAAGCUACCCCGGGGAUAACAGGCUUAUCUCCCCCAAGAGUUCACAUCGACGGGGAGGUUUGGCACCUCGAUGUCGGCUCAUCGCAUCCUGGGGCUGUAGUCGGUCCCAAGGGUUGGGCUGUUCGCCCAUUAAAGCGGUACGCGAGCUGGGUUCAGAACGUCGUGAGACAGUUCGGUCCCUAUCCGUCGUGGGCGUAGGAAAUUUGAGAGGAGCUGUCCUUAGUACGAGAGGACCGGGAUGGACAUACCUCUGGUGUACCAGUUGUCGUGCCAACGGCAUAGCUGGGUAGCUAUGUAUGGACGGGAUAAGUGCUGAAAGCAUCUAAGCAUGAAGCCCCCCUCAAGAUGAGAUUUCCCAACUUCGGUUAUAAGAUCCCUCAGAGAUGAUGAGGUUAAUAGGUUCGAGGUGGAAGCGUGGUGACACGUGGAGCUGACGAAUACUAAUCGAUCGAAGACUUAAUCAA